rnacentral:tRNA from 1 species
AUUUAUAUAGUUUAUAAUAAACAUUUUAUUUUCACUAAAAAAAAGGUAUUUACCUAUAAAUU